GUAGGUGGCAAGCGUUGUCCGGAAUUAUUGGGCGUAAAGCGCGCGCAGGCGGUUUUUUAAGUCUGAUGUGAAAGCCCACGGCUCAACCGUGGAGGGUCAUUGGAAACUGGAGAACUUGAGUACAGAAGAGGAAAGCGGAAUUCCACGUGUAGCGGUGAGAUGCGUAGAGAUGUGGAGGAACACCAGUGGCGAAGGCGGCUUUCUGGUCUGUAACUGACGCUGAGGCGCGAAAGCGUGGGGAGCAAACAGGAUUAGAUACCCUGGUAGUCCACGCCGUAAACGAUGAGUGCUAAGUGUUAGGGGGUUUCCGCCCCCCUUAGUGCUGCAGCUAACGCAUUAAGCACUCCGCCUGGGAGUACGGCCGCAAGGCUG
rnacentral:rRNA from 1 species